ACUGCGGAGGAUCAUUG
rnacentral:rRNA from 9 species